UGGGGAAUUUUGGGCAAUGGGCGAAAGCCUGACCCAGCAACGCCGCGUGAAGGAUGAAGUAUUUCGGUAUGUAAACUUCGAAAGAAUAGGAAGAAUAAAUGACGGUACUAUUUAUAAGGUCCGGCUAACUACGUGCCAGCAGCCGCGGUAAUACGUAGGGACCAAGCGUUGUUCGGAUUUACUGGGCGUAAAGGGCGCGUAGGCGGCAAUUCAAGUCAUCUGUGAAAUCUCCGGGCUUAACUCGGAACGGUCAGAUGAUACUGCUUUGCUAGAGUGCAGAAGGGGCAAUCGGAAUUCUUGGUGUAGCGGUGAAAUGCGUAGAUAUCAAGAGGAACACCUGAGGUGAAGACGGGUUGCUGGGCUGACACUGACGCUGAGGCGCGAAAGCCAGGGGAGCAAACGGGAUUAGAUACCCUUGUAGUCCCUGAGCGGGCUGGCAAGGCGCAU
rnacentral:rRNA from 1 species